rnacentral:lncRNA from 1 species
AUAGGCCCUGAUCAGGAAGUGAAGACAACAUGACUGUGGAGAAGAGAGCCGGGAAGGGAAGAAGCUCAAUAAUGAGUGCAUUCUAGGCCAGCUUCCCCAGAGCAUCAAGGUUGAUGGAAGAACAUGAGGGGAAGUGGCAUGAGAGCAAGCCCGUGCUCUCCUCUACAGAGACAGAAGCCAGACAUGCCUUUUCCAUGUGCUGAUCUCCAAGUCCCAGCUAGUAGGUCACAUGACAUCACAGUCCUGCUCUUCCUCAAUGUGAAUGUCUCCACCAUCUACCCAUUUGCCCAAGUGGGAAACCUGGCCAGGGAUCCUGAGUGCCUCCUGUCUGUCUCACCUCCCCGUAUCCAACUGUCCCCAAAUAACUUCCAAACCACCCACUUGACGCUCUGCCUCUCCCCUCUUCCUGUGUUGAGAACACCACCUCCCCUCACCUGGAAGAUUCCAAUCACCUCUGUUCCCAGCCUGGCCUCUCUGUGGUGCCUGUGGCUCCCCCAUCUCCAGGCUAGUCACCACCAG